GUGUCAGCAGCCGCGGUAAUACGUAGGGGGCUAGCGUUGUCCGGAAUCAUUGGGCGUAAAGCGCGUGUAGGCGGUUCGGUAAGUCCGCUGUGAAAGUCGGGGGCUCAACCCUCGGAUGCCGGUGGAUACUGUCGGACUAGAGUACGGAAGAGGCGAGUGGAAUUCCUGGUGUAGCGGUGAAAUGCGCAGAUAUCAGGAGGAACACCGAUUGCGAAGGCAGCUCGCUGGGACGUUACUGACGCUGAGACGCGAAAGCGUGGGGAGCAAACAGGAUUAGAAACCCGCGUAGUCC
rnacentral:rRNA from 1 species